rnacentral:rRNA from 1 species
ACCCGCACAAGCGGUGGAGUAUGUGGCUUAAUUCGAUGCAACGCGAAGAACCUUACCAAGGCUUGACAUGGAUUUCUAAGCACGUGAAAGCGUGUGACCCUUCGGGGGACUUCCACAGGUGCUGCAUGGCCGUCGUCAGCUCGUGUCGUGAGAUGUUGGGUUAAGUCCCGCAGCGAGCGCAACCCUUGUGACUAGUUGCCAGCACGUAAUGGUGGGAACUCUAGUCAGACUGCCCAGAUCAACUGGGAGGAAGGUGGGGACGACGUCAGGUCAGUAUGGCCCUUACGCCUUGGGCUGCACACGUACUACAAUGCCCAGUACAAUGAGAACCGAUACCGCGAGGUGGAGGAAAUCUGUAAAACUGGGCCCAGUUCGGAUUGGAGGCUGCAACUCGCCUCCAUGAAGUUGGAAUCGCUAGUAAUGGCGCAUCAUCUACGGCGCCGUGAAUACGUUCCCGGGUCUU